AUGGUGGCUAUGCAGAGAAUUAAAAUAUGAGGAAUAACCAUCUAGUUUGCUCUGCAUGGCUGUUAUUAAAAAUCACUGAUGUUUAUGUACUCAUAAUCUGUGCAGCCUUGUUUCUGUACGGAGCGAUCUAUGAAGGAAUUUGUAGGAAAAAAAAAUAUCUGCUCUAUUGUUUCAGUUGUGAGUGAGAUACAAAGAUCAGUCUGAAACAUGUAAAUAUUGUAGAUUUAAUUGUCGGUGCUAAAGGUUAAAAAUGACUUAGCUUUUUUCACACUUCCCCUGAGAUAUUAUAUCUGUCAGGUCCUUAUCACUGACCUUCAAUAUAACUGAUAUCUCUCACACGACUUGGAUAACUUGUUUUUUUUUUUAAGUCUCUCUUCUACGUCUAUUCGGAAUACUCCUACAUUCCUGGCACGUUCGCUACAGUUUAAGCUCAUGCAAACCUACUGGAAGCUGGUGGGUUGUUCUUUAGUCCUGCAAUAAACUCACUAGCAAGAUUGGCUUGAUUACUAUGGGGACGAGUGAUUCCUGGUAAAAUGAGAUUAUACUUGGACGUACUUGAAGAACUCUUGGCUGGCUGUGGACGAGUAGCUGCUGUUGGUGGCCUGGUCUGUGCAGUUGGGGGUGUUCCAGGUGUUGUUGCAGCUCUGCCAUGGAAGAGGCGCCUGGAAGGAGCUAAAGAGGUAAUACAAGGCCCAGGUGAUCACCACGUUGUAGUAGGUGCACAUGAUGAAGGAGAUGGCCACAGAUGCCAUGCCAACCCCUGAGGUGAGACAAAAAUCACUGACAUCUUCUUUUUUUUUACCGACUAUGGGGAAAAAGGAGGGCAAAGUACCUUUUAAUAGUGGGCAAACAGUGGCCAGGGCAUGAACAGGGCCUCUCCUGGUAUACUGGCCCACAGUCAGCUCCAUGUAGAGCAGAGGGAUCCCCAACACCGCCAGCAUGAACAGAUAGGGCACCAGAAAGGCACCUGGCAGACAGAACGCAGAGAUAGGGGAACCUCCAAACGUUCCCCAGACCCACUGCACAGCCGAUUCCUGCCAGGGUGAACUCUAUCUGCCGGCUCCAUGUCGGUCUGCUGGGCUCCUGCUCCUGCUGGUCCAUGCUGUCCUUCUUACUCGCCACGGCUGCUCGUUUGGGCCAGAACUCAAUGGAGAGCUUGAAGGGGUUCCCAAAGAACUGACUGGGAUUCAAGGAGACAGAAGCAGACAUCCAGAAAGAAGCAGAGAUACAAAAGGCAACUGUUGACAAGUUCCACAGACGCCGCUGUCAAGGAAACACACAGCCAGGCAGACGAGCUCCGAGCCGGCUCCCCUGUCAGAGGAUGAAUGAGAGCAAAUACAGUUAGUCACAGCCAGAGAAAUAGGACUAAACUGAAAAACAGGCUGAGCUCCAACAUGUUUUUAUUAUUAUUUUUUUUCUCUUCAGCACUAGUGACCCCUUAUGGUACAGUAGUCUGACUAAAAAGGGGUGCAAGAGAGAGGGAGAGACAUCCAGCAAAGGACUAAAAGCCAGAUUAGAACCACGUCGAGGACUAAGGCCUCCAUACAUGUGUUGUGCAUGUUAACCAGUGUGCCACUGAAGCACGCCCAAUCUCCAACAUAUAUAAACAAAGGUGUUGAUGGCAGCAGCACAGCUGAUAUUUCUCUCCAGGACGGAGUCACAGCCAAACAGGAACAGACCAGAUGAACCUACUAUGGUGAGAAAAAGCAGAGAGACUAUACAAUUAGAGAUUGAAUAAAUUCUGCAGUGGGAGAAUAGAGACCGAAUGAAGCAGAAUGA